rnacentral:rRNA from 1 species
UAGGGAAUCUUCCACAAUGGACGAAAGUCUGAUGGAGCAACGCCGCGUGAGUGAAGAAGGGUUUCGGCUCGUAAAACUCUGUUGUUAAAGAAGAACAUAUCUGAGAGUAACUGUUCAGGUAUCGACGGUAUUUAACCAGAAAGCCACGGCUAACUACGUGCCAC